CAGGCUUGACAUCCUAGGGACAGCUCCAGAGAUGGGGUCUUCCUUCGGGACUCUAGGAC
rnacentral:rRNA from 1 species